rnacentral:rRNA from 1 species
UACGUAGGACCCAAGCGUUAUCCGGAGUGACUGGGCGUAAAGAGUUGCGUAGGCGGCUUAAUAAGUGGAUAGUGAAACCUGGUGGCUCAACCAUACAGACUAUUAUCCAAACUGUUAAGCUCGAGAAUGGUAGAGGUGGCUGGAAUUUCUAGUGUAGGAGUGAAAUCCGUAGAUAUUAGAAGGAACACCGAUGGCGUAGGCAGGCCACUGGACCAUUUCUGACGCUAAGGCACGAAAGCGUGGGGAGCGAACCGG